rnacentral:rRNA from 1 species
UACGUGGAGGGCAAGCGUUGUCCGGAAUCAUUGGGCGUAAAGAGCGUGUAGGCGGCCUGGUAAGUCCGCUGUGAAAGUCCAGGGCUCAACCCUGGAAUGCCGGUGGAAACUGUCAGGCUCGAGUCCGGAAGAGGCGAGUGGAAUUCCUGGUGUAGCGGUGGAAUGCGCAGAUAUCAGGAGGAACACCGAUGGCGAAGGCAGAUCUCUGGGCCGUAACUGACGCUGAGGAGCGAAAGCAUGGGGAGCGAACAGG